GGGCCAGACUCCUACGGGAGGCAGCAGUGGGGAAUAUUGCACAAUGGGGGGAACCCUGAUGCAGCGACGCCGCGUGGGUGAAGAAGUCAUUCGUGACGUAAAGCCCUAUCAGCAGGGAAGAAAAUGACGGUACCUGACUAAGAAGCCCCGGCUAACUACGUGCCAGCAGCCGCGGUAAUACGUAGGGGGCAAGCGUUAUCCGGAUUUACUGGGUGUAAAGGGAGCGUAGACGGCAGUGCAAGUCCGGAGUGAAAGCCCGGGGCUCAACCCUGGGACUGCUCUGGAAACUGUAAAGCUGGAGUGCGGGAGGGGCAGGCGGAAUUCCUAGUGUAGCGGUGAAAUGCGUAGAUAUUAGGAGGAACACCAGUGGCGAAGGCGGCCUGCUGGACGAUGACUGACGUUGAGGCUCGAAAGCGUGGGGAGCAAACAGGAUUAGAUACCCGAGUA
rnacentral:rRNA from 1 species